rnacentral:rRNA from 1 species
CCUACGGGGGGCUGCAGUGGGGAAUAUUGCGCAAUGGGGGAAACCCUGACGCAGCAACGCCGCGUGGGUGAUGAAGGUCUUCGGAUUGUAAAGCCCUGUUUUCUGGGACGAUAAUGACGGUACCAGAGGAGGAAGCCACGGCUAACUACGUGCCAGCAGCCGCGGUAAUACGUAGGUGGCGAGCGUUGUCCGGAUUUACUGGGCGUAAAGGGUGCGUAGGCGGAUGUUUAAGUGGGAUGUGAAAUCCCCGGGCUUAACCUGGGGGCUGCAUUCCAAACUGGAUAUCUAGAGUGCAGGAGAGGAAAGCGGAAUUCCUAGUGUAGCGGUGAAAUGCGUAGAGAUUAGGAAGAACACCAGUGGCGAAGGCGGCUUUCUGGACUGUAACUGACGCUGAGGCGCGAAAGCGUGGGGAGCAAACAGGAUUAGAUACCCGAGUAGUC